rnacentral:lncRNA from 1 species
CACGACUUGAGGCUUUAAUGGGUCAUGGUCAAGUUCACACCAAAGGGGGGUUCGGGGGGGUCCGGGGGGGUUCGGGCCCAUCCUUCAUCUCAGCCGGAGCAGAACUGGGGGGACACGGGGGGGGCCCGAGGAGAGGGGGACACGGGGGGGCCUGGGGGCACCCAUCACCCCCCAUCACCCCCCCAUUGAUCCUGGGGUGCAGCCCAUGGGGACAGGGAGAGCCCGGGGGGGGUCACACUGGUGGAUGACCCCCCACCCUGGGGACCCCCUGUCUUGAUGGUCCUGCCACCAUGGGGAGACCCCCACCCUGGGGACCCCCCAUGAUGGUAACACCCUAUCCUGGGGUCCCUCUAUCCUGAGCAUCCCCCAUCCUGGGGAACCCCCACCAUGGGGACUCCCCAUUCUAGGGAGACCGCUUACCCUGGGGACCCCCAUCUUGGGGACCCCCCCUGGAAGGGCACUUGGUGAGGUUGGGGGCUGAGCACCCAUGGGGACACCCAGGGGAGCACCCAUGGGAGGAUCUGGGGAAGCACCCAUGGGGAGCCCGGGGGAGCACCCAUGCUGGGGGUCCUGGUUCCAGCCCUGCUGCCCCCAAGGGUGACACAGCCCCAGGAGGGGACGGAUCCAGUAAGAAGUACCUGAUGGGCAAACUGGGAAUGGAGGGGGGGGGGGGCACCCCAAGGCACUGGUGGUGAUGGGAGGGGUGCUGGGUGAAGGCACUGGUGGGGUUCUGCUGUGGUGGGACCCCGCGGUGGGGAUGGGACCCCAUGAGUAGGGAGGGGACCUGAAUGGGUGAUGAUGGGACCCCAUGGUGGGGAUGGGAACCUAUGGGUGGGGAUGGGCACCCUGAGGUCUCCCUGGUGUCACCCAUGGGGGCUGGUAGAGCACCCACACCCCAUUUCCCACACCCUGUCUCCCACACCCCAUCUCCCACAUCCCAUCCUGGCAUCAUGAAGGCACUUGGGCUGAGCCACAGCAUUGCUCAGAGCUUCUUCCUCCUCCUCCCUGGGUGCAAGGGGCCAUGGGGGCACCCUGAGGUCCCGGGGGGGGGGGAAUCACCCAAACCCCCCCCAGGACCCUCCAAUAAAUAAGAAAUAACUUAACCAAGGGGAGCCCCAUGAUGGGACCCCCUGAAAUUGUCUGACCAGGUCCCAGCACCCCCAAACCCCCCCUGCACCCCCAAACCCCCAUUGCCCAGCGCCCAGGAUGGGGGGGUCCCGGUGCUGCUGGCUGCUGGUGGGAUCCGGGACAAUGGGAUGUGGAUCCGGGAUGCUGGGAUGCAGAUCCGGGAUGACGCUGGGAUGCGGGAUGCGGGAUCCCGGCUACUUGCGGAGCUGGAGGCUCUCCAGGAGGACGCGCUUGUGGCCCGGAUCCCGCACUCCGGCCUCCUCCAGGUCCUCCUCCGUGAUCUCACCUGAGGAACUCGAGGUCGUCCCAACCGUUGUGCACCAGCCCCUGUUCGUACCUCUGCAGCCCCAGAGCCCGCAGCCAGACCCCCACAGCACCCCCAGCA